AGAGAGGUGUCCGAGUGGUUGAAGGAGCACGCCUGGAAAGUGUGUAUGCGGGCAACCGUAUCGAGGGUUCGAAUCCCUUCCUCUCUGCGA
rnacentral:tRNA from 1 species